UACGCAAGAAGGGACCNUUCUUAAGAUCAUAUACCGAGAGAGAGGGGCUUUGCGCUCCCGGGGGUUUCGGCCCCCAACUCUUCACCCACUGUAUACGUACCUUUGUUGCUUUGGCGGACUUCGGGGUCUUCCCGCGCUGACUUUCGGGUCGGUGAGCGUCCGUCAGAGGCCCAUUCAAAUCCGCUUUAUCAGUGACGUCCGAGUAUAUAUAUAAAAAUAGUCAAAACUUUCAACAACGGAUCUCUUGGUUCCAGCAUCGAUGAAGAACGCAGCGAAAUGCGAUAAGUAAUGUGAAUUGCAGAAUUCAGUGAAUCAUCGAAUCUUUGAACGCACAUUGCGCCCCUCGGUAUUCCGGGGGGCAUGCCUGUUCGAGCGUCAUUGUACCCCUCAAGCGUAGCUUGGUAUUGGGCUCUCGCCCCCGCGGCGUGCCCGAAAAGCAGUGGCGGUCCGGUGUGACUUUAAGCGUUGUAAAUUCUAUCCCGCUUUGAAAGCUCGCGCCGUGGCCGGCCAGACAACCCUAUUAGCUUCAAUAAUUGACCUCGGAUCAGGUAGGGAUACCCGCUGAACUUAAGCAUAUCAAUAAGCCGGAGGAA
rnacentral:rRNA from 1 species